rnacentral:rRNA from 1 species
GAUGAACGCUGGCGGCGUGCCUAAUACAUGCAAGUCGAGCGAACGGACGAGAAGCUUGCUUUUCUGAUGUUAGCGGCGGACGGGUGAGUAACACGUGGAUAACCUACCUAUAAGACUGGGAUAACUUCGGGAAACCGGAGCUAAUACCGGAUAAUAUUUUGAACCGCAUGGUUCAAAAGUGAAAGACGGUCUUGCUGUCGCUUAUAGAUGGAUCCGCGCUGCAUUAGCUAGUUGGUAAGGUAACGGCUUACCAAGGCAACGAUGCAUAACCGACCUGAGAGGGUGAUCGGCCACACUGGAACUGAGACACGGUCCAGACUCCUACGGGAGGCAGCAGUAGGGAAUCUUCCGCAAUGGGCGAAAGCCUGACGGAGCAACGCCGCGUGAGUGAUGAAGGUCUUCGGAUCGUAAAACUCUGUUAUUAGGGAAGAACAUAUGUGUAAGUAACUGUGCACAUCUUGACGGUACCUAAUCAGAAAGCCACGGCUAACUACGUG